UACGGGGGGGGCAAGCGUUGUUCGGAAUUACUGGGCGUAAAGGGCUCGUAGGUGGCCAACUAAGUCAGACGUGAAAUCCCUCGGCUUAACCGGGGAACUGCGUCUGAUACUGGAUGGCUUGAGUUUGGGAGAGGGACGCGGAUUUCCAGGUGUAGCGGUGAAAUGCGUAGAUAUCUGGAGGAACACCGGUGGCGAAGGCGGCGUCCUGGACCAACACUGACACUGAUGAGCGAAAGCCAGGGGAGCAAACGGG
rnacentral:rRNA from 1 species